rnacentral:rRNA from 2 species
CUCAGGACGAACGCUGGCGGCGUGCCUAAUACAUGCAAGUCGAACGAGCUCUCCCAAAUUGAUUUUAUGCUUGCAUAAAUGAUUUUUGGAUUCGGAGCGAGUGGCGAACUGGUGAGUAACACGUGGGUAACCUGCCCCGAAGCGGGGGAUAACAUUUGGAAACAAGUGCUAAUACCGCAUAAUUAGUUGGAACCGCAUGGUUCCAACUUGAAAGAUGGCUCUGCUAUCACUUUGGGAUGGACCCGCGCCGUAUUAGUUAGUUGGUGAGAUAAAAGCCCACCAAGACGAUGAUACGUAGCCGACCUGAGAGGGUAAUCGGCCACAUUGGGACUGAGACACGGCCCAGACUCCUACGGGAGGCAGCAGUAGGGAAUCUUCCACAAUGGACGAAAGUCUGAUGGAGCAACGCCGCGUGAGUGAUGAAGGUUUUCGGAUCGUAAAACUCUGUUGUUAAAGAAGAACAAGUGUUAGAGUAACUGNNAANACUUUGACGGUAUUUAACCAGAAAGCCACGGCUAACUACGUGCC